rnacentral:rRNA from 1 species
UGAACGCUGGCGGCAUGCUUUACACAUGCAAGUCGAACGGCAGCACGGGGGCAACCCUGGUGGCGAGUGGCGAACGGGUGAGUAAUACAUCGGAACGUACCCAGUUGUGGGGGAUAACCUACCGAAAGGUAGGCUAAUACCGCAUGAGCUCGAAGGAGGAAAGCGGGGGACUCGCAAGGGCCUCGCGCGACUGGAGCGGCCGAUGUCCGAUUAGCUAGUUGGUGGGGUAAAGGCUUACCAAGGCGACGAUCGGUAGCUGGUCUGAGAGGAUGAUCAGCCACACUGGGACUGAGACACGGCCCAGACUCCUACGGGAGGCAGCAGUGGGGAAUUUUGGACAAUGGGCGAAAGCCUGAUCCAGCAAUGCCGCGUGUGUGAAGAAGG